rnacentral:rRNA from 1 species
AGUGAACGCUGGCGGUAGGCCUAACACAUGCAAGUCGCACGGCAGCACAGUAAGAGCUUGCUCUUACGGGUGGCGAGUGGCGGAUGGGUGAGGAAUACAUCGGACUCUUCUUUUCCGUGGGGGAUCACGUAGGGACACUUACGCUAAUACCGCAUACGACCUACGUGUGAAAGCAGGGGAUCUUCGGACCUUGCGCGAUUCAAUGAGCCGAUGUCGGAGUAGUUAGCUGGCGGGGUAAAGGCCCACCACGGCGACGCUCCGUAGCUGGUCUGAGAGGAUGAUCGGCCACACUGUAACUGAGCCACGGUCCAGACUCCUACGGGAGGCCGCAGUGGGGAAUAUUGGACAAUGGGCGCAAGCCUGAUCCAGCCAUACCGCGUGGGUGAAGAAGGCCUGCGGGUUGUAAAGCCCUUUUGUUGGGAAAGAAAAGCAGCAGGUUAAUACCCCGCUGUUCUGACGGUACCCAAAGAAUAAGCACCGGCGAACUUCGUG